rnacentral:lncRNA from 1 species
UCCAUUUUUUUGUGUUUUUAUCAAAUAAAAGAAGACAAAAGAUAGAAGAUUAAAGGGCGACGACGAAGAACACUCUUUACCGUCAUCAUCGUCUUCGUCGGAACGGCGAGCAACCAAGAAAAAAACGGAAAAGACGAGCGGGUUGAAAAAGAACUAAACGAGGUUGCAUCUACAAAUGCGAAAAUGAUGUUUGAAACUGAAGUUGGAACCGGGUUGCUGCAUUUGUAUACGAAAGAUCUACAACCUAGUAUGCUUAUUGGUCUUGCGAUUGUCAAUUUUUUUGCUUCUAUGCUAAAUUAUAAGGAGGUUAAGAGAACGUGAUGAACACAACCCUGCCUUUUCUGCCAUACAGAUUGCUUUCUAAGUAUUAGGUUAAAUACAUUUCGUUAUACAAGUGAAUGAAUAUUUCGCACACAUAUGUCGGUUUUGGGUAACAUGUAAUGUAGGAGUAAUAUGUGUUAUGUAACACAGGCUAUGACGAAGUAAAGCGAAGUGGACGCUACUACGGAAAAAAUAUGUUAUGCAGCUAGGGACAUCAAUGAUAGAAUAAUGGCAGUAGCAGAAGAAUAUGAUAAGGCUACGAAGUCUUUUGUUACCUAGAUUUAUU